rnacentral:rRNA from 1 species
UACGGAGGGUGCAAGCGUUGUCCGGAUUUAUUGGGUUUAAAGGGUGCGUAGGUGGUUUUGUAAGUCUGGUUUGAAAGCAGGUCGCUCAACGAUCUGAUGUGGCUGGAAACUGUGGAACUUGAAUGUGUUGGCGGAAGCCGGAACGGGUCAUGUAGCGGUGAAAUGCAUAGAUAUGACCCAGAACCCCGAUUGCGAAGGCAGGCUUCCAGGACAUGAUUGACACUGAGGCACGAGAGCAUGGGGAGCCAACAGG